rnacentral:lncRNA from 1 species
NCUGUGAUUCCUCAUAAGCACUAAUUAUACCUGAUUAUAGGUUAAAAUAUUUAUUUUGUCAAAAUAUUUUCUUGGGGAUGUGUUUAACCUUUUUUUGUGCUUAUUGUGUGCUGAGAUGUGAAGACUAACUGUUUCCUCCUGCCUACCUUUUUGGCCAGCGGGCAACAGUAAAUGGCACUAUAUGCAGUUUGACCCCCAUGUGGCAGGCUCUGGCCUGCCUGCUGCAGAGUGGUCCCUGCCCAGGCACACAGCAGCUGGACUGUGGCCAGACUGAGAAUGACCAACUUGUUUAUCAAUAGUCGUGGGACACGGGGUUUCAGAAGUGAAAGGGCUUGUUGUCAGCCCAGGCCAGAGGGAAAAAUGAUUGUCUAUGUCUGUCCUCCCGUCUGUCUGUCAGCCCCUCUGUGAGUGACCGUGCCUUGGCUCACUGUCCUUCCCUCUCUCCCACCCAGUGGUCCUGGGGCCUGUGCUGUUACUGCAGCCCCUUAGGAGGUGAGAAUUGGGCACCCCGUAGUGUUCUCAGCUCAGAGUGAUGGCCAGGGCUCUGCAGGCCCGGCUGUAGUGCUCCUGUCCCUCCUCCCUUCCUGCCUUCCUCCAUACCCCACUCCUGUCCCUCCUCCCUGUCACUGCAAAUGCCCCUCCAACUGGAGCCCAGGGUGGUUCUGGAUGGUUCAGGGUGGGCCAUGGGCCUCCUAGGAGCCAGAUCAACCCCCUGGCAGCUGGGGAAGAGCCCCAGGGAGAAGUGCUUACUCUUAGCCUCUUGCACUACCAGAUGGGGCCUGCGAGACUCCAUGGUCUGUUGUCAGCCUGCUGAUGAGAUAUCUGGGCUUCUCCUCCUGCUCAGCCACACAGGGAAACAGCCACUCUCCCUCACCCAAGGAAUGUUCCCACCCCAAAGAUGCUCGGGCCCUGUAGUACCUGCCUUUCCCAGGCCCGUCUCCAGCCCUGCUGUCCAUGGGGAUCCAGGCCAGGCUCCCCUGUGGCCACCAGACUCCGGAGCAGCUGUCAACCGCUGCAUCAUGACUGAUUUUGUCACAGUGUCCCAAAUCUCCAGGUUCUCCUGGAGAAUGGGGGAUGGAUCUUUAUUUCCUGAAGUUUGCACUUAAUUUGUGACUGUUCCAGAAGAGGAAUGUGUUGAGUCCUUUGUCCCCUCGUUCCAGAAGUCUGGUGUUCUUGUCACUGUCCUGUGUUUCUGUGGGCAGAGCUGGUUCUGGAGGGUGGGUCAGUGAUCGAAUGUCUCAGAGGGACACUGGAGCAUCCACCUGCCCCACUGGCUCUCCUUCCAGAUACCAUCUCUCUAGUUUGGGUUCUUGCAUGUAAAGUAAUCCACAAUAAAUAAAUACUUGAAC